AUCUAUGGCCAUGCCACCCAGAACAAGCCCGAUCCCAUCUGAUCUCGGAACUAAGCAAGGUCAGGCCUGGUUAGUACUUGGAUGGGAGACCACCUAGGAAGACCAGGUGCUGUAGGCG
rnacentral:rRNA from 1 species